GGUCAGUGCUAAAUAGGUUAGGAAUUGUUUGGCGUUGGUGUAGUGUUGGAGCAUUACUACUACUUGGUUCACUUCCAUUUAAAGGGUCUUGCUUGAAGAUAUCUUUGAAGCCAUAAACACAGUUGUCUUGAUUUCAAAUAGGGGUCAUGGGUUGAGCUAUUAAGCUGAACUUGUUGUUACGCCUCUGAACAUCUACCUCUUUCCUGUAGGUGUUGAUCCUGGUGCUUGUCGCCAUUCAUGAGGAAAGAUAGUCGGUCUUUGAACGGGUGAGUGAUCUUGCUGUUGCUGGGAUGCUAUUCAACAUGGGGAUUUGAUCUCCCUUGAGGUGCAGUGUAGCGAGAUAUAUGCCGCUGCCACUUGUGGAUUUAUUGUUGAGAUGGUCGCUCAACCUCAAUAUUGAUUAGUCCUUCCCCUAGAUUUUGCCCAACAUGCUCUGUAGGUCAUCAGUAAGAACAAAAAGUAUGCCUCUAAGCUGUCUGUGUUUAUUCUACAAAGUAAAUUAGUAUGGCUGCACACGGUUGACUGUUCUUGACCAGUUUUUGUAGUAAUUUGUAUGGCUGACAAAUUUCAGCAGUAAUUAACAUGGCUUCAGUCCACCGUGUCUGAUUUUCAGCAGGCCAACCUGAUUAAUGCUAGUGCAACUCAUCUUCAAAAGUACAUGGAUGCAGUGUGAAAUUUGUUCCUGCUGUUGUUGUUUAGAUAGAUCACACUAGAACAUUUUGUACGAACCACUUACUCAAGUGAGAGAGAUAGGCUUCUUCAUAGUUCAUCUAUUUCCCGGCAAAAGCAGAAAGUGUAACGCCAUUUGUUCCCUGUGUGAAUAAAUUUGUGUUCCUAUGUGAAGUAAUGUUUUGUUCCUGGACUAAGAACAUUCUGUCCUAGUGUGGAUAAUAUUUUAUUCAUCUGUGAAUUACCUUUAUUAAAAAACCAUAUUGAUUGAGAACUAAAAAGGACAUGCUUUUUUAGUAUUCUAGAA
rnacentral:lncRNA from 1 species